rnacentral:rRNA from 1 species
UACGUAGGGGGCAAGCGUUGUCCGGAAUCAUUGGGUGUAAAGAGCGUGUAGGCGGUCCGGUAAGUCGGCUGUGAAAGUCCAGGGCUCAACCCUGGGAUGCCGGUCGAUACUGUCGGGCUUGAGUACGGAAGAGGCGAGUGGAAUUCCUGGUGUAGCGGUGAAAUGCGUAGAUAUCUGGAGGAACACCGGUGGCGAAGGCGGCAUCCUGGACCGGUAUUGACGCUGAUGCGCGAAAGCCAGGGGAGCAAACGGG